rnacentral:lncRNA from 1 species
UCCACACAAAGUUCUCGAUCCGAUCAAAGGCUUCUGACUUCAUCGAGGUGCUAGCUCUCUUCUAGAGUCAUCUCCUAAUGGUUGAUCUGGUUCCUUCUUGGUAUCUUUCAGACUCUUUCAGAUCUCUGAAAAGGAACAGGUGGAAGAUGAAGGAAAGAUAAAAACCUAAAGAACUUUGUCUCUUUUCUUUUCUCUCUUCUCAAAACUCACCCGCCAAGGAGAAGCCCUAGGAGACCUCACACCCU